rnacentral:rRNA from 1 species
GAUGAACGCUGGCGGCGUGCCUAAUACAUGCAAGUCGAGCGAACAGAUGAGGAGCUUGCUCCUCUGACGUUAGCGGCGGACGGGUGAGUAACACGUGGAUAACCUACCUAUAAGACUGGGAUAACUUCGGGAAACCGGAGCUAAUACCGGAUAAUAUAUUGAACCGCAUGGUUCAAUAGUGAAAGACGGUUUUGCUGUCACUUAUAGAUGGAUCCGCGCCGCAUUAGCUAGUUGGUAAGGUAACGGCUUACCAAGGCAACGAUGCGUAGCCGACCUGAGAGGGUGAUCGGCCACACUGGAACUGAGACACGGUCCAGACUCCUACGGGAGGCAGCAGUAGGGAAGCUUCCGCAAUGGGCGAAAGCUUGACGGAGCAACGCCGCGUGAGUGAUGAAGGUCUUCGGAUCGUAAAACUCUGUUAUUAGGGAAGAACAAAUGUGUAAGUAACUAUGCACGUCUUGACGGUACCUAAUCAGAAAGCCACGGCUAACUACGUG